GGUCGGCGCACCACUGCUUUGGUUUCUUAUGCGAUGGUGAGUAGGGAAAGGGACAGAGAACUGCAUCAAAGAGGAAGGAAUAAUCCCAGGUCUCUUGCCAUUGGAGCUCCAGCUCUGCGUGCUCAAGCCGCAGCCCUUUCCCAAGAUGGGGAAGACAAAACCAAG